AGUGAACGCUGGCGGUAGGCCUAACACAUGCAAGUCGAACGGCAGCACAGUAAUAGCUUGCUCUUACGGGUGGCGAGUGGCGGACGGGUGAGGAGUACAUCGGAAUCUACUUUUUCGUGGGGGAUAACGUAGGGAAACUUACGCUAAUACCGCAUACGACCUACGGGUGAAAGCAGGGGAUCUUCGGACCUUGCGCGAUUGAAUGAGCCGAUGUCGGAGUAGCUAGUUGGCGGGGUAAAGGCCCACCAAGGCGACGAUCCGUAGCUGGUCUGAGAGGAUGAGCGGCCACAGUGGAACUGAGACACGGUCCAGACUCCUACGGGAGGCAGCAGCGGGGAAUAUUGGACAAUGGGCGCAAGCCUGAUCCAGCCAUACCGCGUGGGUGAAGAAGGCCUUCGGGUUGUAAAGCCCUUUUGUUGGGAAAGAAAAGCAGCAGGUUAAUACCCCGCUGUUCUGACGGUACCGAAAGAAGAAGCACCGGCUAACUUCGUG
rnacentral:rRNA from 1 species